AGCUGUGUGACCGGAAGGGGUAGAGCCUGGCUGCACCUCUCCUAAACCCCAUUUAAGGGCUGACUUUGAUUGAGGAAGCUUUUUUCUCUGGGGAUUGCUCUUUUUGAAGUUUUUCCUGCAAGCCCAGGGUGUGGCAGAUUAUACAUCAGAAUUAAGAUGGCUGUCUAGUCUGUAUCUUUGACUGUGAGGAGGAGAAGUACUACUACACUGAGGGGCUUUGCCAGGAGUGCUUCAAAAUGUUCAUGGAAGGCCGGAUGCCAUUCCCCUAAAAAACUGCAAACCUGGAUCACUUAAGUUGCUUCAUAAUGCAGCCUCAGCUCGGGGCCAAAAUACAUGUGACCAGCGUGUGCUGGUCUCAAACAUACAGGGUUGGUCACUUAAUAUCUACGUGGGUUUAUUUCUGCCUUGGAAAAGUGUAAGCAGGCUAAUGCUUUGAGGCCAAACUGGUAUCCCAUUAAAGUGCAUUCUGAGGCUUGUUGCUUAAGCUGAGGCACCAGUGCCUUUACAUUUGGUGUGUGAGGGUAGAUUUAACGAGGUGAUUGAGGUAUUAUUAGCAACUAAAUGAUUGUUAGAAAUGAUUGUUAGAAACUGCUCUAGCAAGUCAGCUGACUUAACAACUCUGCUGCCCUUAAAAUUGAUUUCAGGAAUGCUUUUUUUCCUAGCAUCUAAUUUCUUUUAGAUAUGAAUAAUUUACAGGCUUCUUUUAUGAUACGCCACAAAGGAUCAAUACAGAUAUAAAACCUACCAAUGUAUAUGCCAGCUAUUGCAAAAUUGUAUGCUGUUCUUUUCAGAGAACAAAUUUCAAAUACAUGCACCAAUUCAAUAUAAAUUAUUUUCCUUAAAUCAUAUGAGCUAUCAAUUAAUUCAAUAGCUAGUAGUGUUUCUUAGUCUUUUUUUUUUAUCUUCCUCCUAAUUACCAAGUCAGAUAUCACUGUUAAUUUUCAGUGCUCAGCACAGGUUAACAGUAAUAGCCAUUCUUUUCUCAGGGUUCAUUUCUAACUGCUGGAAGUUUCUGUUGGGGAAAAAUAAGACAAAUUGAAAUAAGGAGUAAUGCUAAUAGUUAGAACCUGUUUCCAAAAUGGUGGCAGUAGCAUUGUUUGGUAGGUAUUUUAUCAUAUUUAUGCUUUUAGGUAUUUGUUAUGCACAGGCAUUAGGAAAUACUGUUAUUUAGAUGGCCUAUACUCAUUUGGCUCUGUGGUUUUUGUCAGACAAAGUCAUAGAGAUGCAUUUGUCCAAGAACAUCUGAGCUCUGCAAAAUGUGCAGUUUGGUCUCCAUACUGUUACAACUAGGCUUCAGAAAUCAGUGUUGGUAUGACUGAUGAUAGUUUGCUCUGUCCAGAAUGGCUUGGAUCUGAUCAGAAGGUUCUACCUUUAAGAAUUGAGUUGGACAAUGGGGGCAAUUUACAUAACAGGAUUGAAGGGACAUAAACUGAAGCAUUGCUAUGCUCUAUAACCUGAAAAUUCAAUUGGCAUUAGUAUUUAUCUCAAAUCUAGUUGGUUAAACAUAAAAAAUGGACAGGAGCCAGUGAAUGUUGUUGGUUGCUGUAAAGAGCAACAUCUUCUGAAAGGGCAUGUAAGCCAUGAAUGCUGGGUACUCUAUACAUUUUUUCCUCAAAUAUAUAUAAGCAGAGUUUGUCACCCACUGACAAGAUAUCGUCAGAGCCAAGAUUUGCCUGGUUCUAAAAAUAGCAUGAAAUAGAUGUAUUUUAAGCUUCCUUUAGUUUGGAGACAAUAAAUGUUUAGAAGUUAGAUUUAUUAAGUUUAUAAUCUAAACAAAAUUUUGCCAAACUUCUAAGUCUGACAGGUUUUACUAGUUCUUCAUUUACAAACUUGUUUUCAGUGAUGAAUUGACAUAGCAUUUAUACUCAGGGUAAUUGGUUUGGAUAAUGUCCAAUAUGUGGCUAUCUGGAAUAUAAUACAAAGCCUUCGUAGGUCUGACCGUUGUUGUAAUAUGCAUCUACACUUUAUUCGACCCUGGCAGCUCUCAGUAUUCUAAACCAUAUUUCUCUACUUCCUUUGCUCCUCAGAGAUUUUUUAGUGCAUUUUAUUUUCUGUAUUAAAACCAAUGUUAGCUACCUACCGUUCUGGGGGUGUAUACUUCUAUAUGAUAUUGGAAUGACUCACAUCCUCCUGUACAAGAUCCUAAAACACAGAUAGCCACUGUUAUGGUCUACUGAUGUGUUUAACUUUUAAUUUUCCUUUAAAAUUCAAAAAAUAUCCUUUCAUUUUCUCAUUCCUACUGCAUAUAGCAGAAGGAAAAUUGAAAACAAAACCACCUCACUUCUGUUCACCAUGGAUACUUUAGUUUCAUUUGUAAUGUUGGCAGAAAAGUGUAUGGCUUUGGAAGGGAUUACUUAACUACUUCUUCAGUGCUAGAGGCUCAGAGGUAUCAGAAGCUGUGCAUGUAGCAGCAGUAAAGGCAGGCCACCACUGGUAAUACCAACUCUUGUCCCUGGGUUGGAUCAUCCAUGAUUUUGAAAUGGCUCACUGCCCAAGAGCAGUGUGCAUACCACAGAAAUUCCCAUUGGAAAUUUGUAUUCUAAAGGCAAAGCAGAAAGCAUGUCUUCUGAGGUGCCAUGACAAAAUAAAGAAUCCUACUUUUUUUUUACUCUAACAACUGUAAAUAUUUUAAAAUACAAAAUACCAUAAGACUAGAAAAGACUUCAGUUACUACUGCCACUGUCUGAUAGACCUUCAAGAAGCUCUUUAUAUUUCACUUGAGCUAUUAAAAAAUGGAUAAAAUAUCUCUGCUGCAGUGUGCUAAAUCACAAGAGCCUUCUUAAUUGGCUUUGCCAUCCUGGGAACUGUAAUGUCAAAUUUAGUUGAGGGUACAAAAUGACAGUUCUUCAGAAUAAGAGGGCUUUUACCCUUGCACCUGCUUUUCAGACAUGAGAACAUCUUCAGCAGUUGACAAAAAUUGAGAAAACUUGACA